rnacentral:lncRNA from 1 species
CUAUUUUAUGGGUUUUCCUUAUUUAAAACAAGCAUAAUAAAGAAAUGUAUUUUCUUAUAAAUAAAUAACAUGAUACAUGUUAUUAGCUCAAAGAUACCAUUGACCUCUAAAGAAUAUACCAACAAUCUCCCACUAGCAAUAAAUUCAAUCAGGCAUAUGCAUAAUACUCGUAGAUUUAAUAUGUCUAUCAUGUUUUAGUGAGUAAAAUCCCAUGAAUCUUCUAGAUCUUUUACUUCU